rnacentral:lncRNA from 1 species
UUAGGAUUUGAUUAAGAUUUGGUUUAGGAUUUAGAGUUUGGUUGGGGUUUUAUUUAGGAUUUGGUUAGGAUUUAGUUUAGGGUUUGAUUAGGGUUUGGUUUAGGAUUUAGAGUUUAGUUGAGGAUUUAAGGUUUGGUUUAGGAUUUAAGAUUUAAUUAGGGUUUGAUUUAGGGUUUAGCGUUUGAUUUAGGAUUCAUUUAGAGAUUGGUUAGAAUUUGGUUUAGGGUUGGGUUAGGAUUUGGUUUAGGUUUUAAGGUUAAGUUAGGAUUUGAUUUAGGAUUUAUUUAGGAAUUAUUUAGAGUUUGGUUUAGAAUUGGAUUAGGAUUUGGUUUAAGGUUUAGGAUUUGGUUUAGGAUUUUAAGAUUUAGUUAGGGUUUGAUUUAGGAUUUGUUUAGGAAUUGAUUAGAGUUUGGUUUAGGAUUUGGUUAAGAUUUGGUUAGGAUUUGGUUUAUGGUUUAGGGUUUGAUUUAGGAUUUAGGAUUUUAUUAGAGUUUGUUUAGGAUUUAAGAUUUAAUUAGUUUUGGCCUAAAAUUUGAAUGAAGUCCAAUAGGAUUUUAACUAGGAUUAAAUUAAGAUUGAAUUGUGAUGUAUUUGAGAUAUAUUUGUGAUCAUUCUAAUAUUUUUUUAAGAUUUUUUAUUAUUUCUUUGAAGUUCUUUGAAAUUUCGUUGAAUUUGAUUAAAGCUAACUUAGCAUUAUUAUGGUCUAAUUAGAAUUUAGUUAGUAUUCUAUUAGAAUUAGGAUUUUGUUGUUGUAAUUUUCAUUCUACCUUCUAUAGCUAGGUGCCCAAAGCAUUUUCAAGCAAGACUUCACGUAUUACGACAAUGAGCUUUAUUGCGAGUUAUUUUACCUUGAGCAUCUUGCUUGCAUAUUAAUACCAUCUUAUAUCCCACAAGGGGAGAUGUAAGAGUGUCUACAAUUGGAGCAAAGACUUUCCUCUUAUGCAAAGAAGCAUAUUCUUCUUCA